GCGCGUGCCCGGGAGAUUGUGAAGUGUGGAGUGACCCUUGAUGAUGCCAACCUGCGUGUGCGCCGGAAGUCCGCUUCCCCUCCCAGAUAAGGGCCAGGGAAGGACACGGCUCGCGGACACCCCAGGAGGAGGGGGGAAGACUGGGACCUCGUCGGCAGCGUGGGUCGUCCCGGCAGCCACCGUCAGUGCGGUUGCCCCAGGACUGGCUCUGCGGAGGUCAGCAGUACUCGAGGGGCAGUUUUUCCUUGGUGAGAUGAUGCUCCUGCCUAGGGAAGCCCUCUUUUCCCCCAGGAGGCGACUGCCGACACUUAAGAGGGCAUCCAUCCUCUUAAGCAUGCUGUCGCUUGGGGUGGUUUCAGUCCCUUGUCAAAGAUGCUGACCAACCAGGUCAGUAGUUCCUGGAGUCCACGGUAACUGAAGAAGAAGGUGGCUCAGAAGAGAGAGAAAAGGCAAAUGGAGUUGGUUAGGUCAGUAACUGGACCCUCUACACUCUGGAGAGAUUUGAGCAGUUUGUUAAAGUGCUGAACAUAGACCUCUCCUGUAACCUAGCCAUUCCACACCUGCUCUUUGCCCAACAGGAAAGAGUAUGUGCCCUUAAAAAGAGCUGUGCUAAUGGCCCAAACUGGAAAUGAUCCACAUGUCCCUCAAUAGGUCAGUCAGUAAACCAAUCGUGAUAGAUCCAUGGAAUGAAAUAUCUCCCAGGGAUAAAAAAGCGCAAGUUUGAUAUAUCCAACAGCAUGUAUAAUCCCAUGAACAUGCUAAGUGGAAGGUAUCAGUAUAGAAAAUACAAACGAUAUGACAGAAAGUAUAUGACCAGUGGUUGCUGGGGAAUGGAUGGGUCUGGGAGGGAAGGAAGGGUUACAAAGAGACACAGGAAAUUUUGCAGGGGUUUGGAUAUUAUCUUGAUUGAGGUGAUGAUUUCACUUGUAUCUACAUUGUCAAGUUUGUCAAAUUAGAUGAACUUGUAAUUACUCUUAUGUCAAUCAUAUGUCAAUGUAAAGUUCUUUAAAACUUCCAUUCUUACUUCCUUAGGGGAAAGGUCUCAAGACAAUUCUAAGUGCGAAUCCUUCAAAACUUUCCCCUAGAGAAUGUAUAUCUGUAUGUAAUAGGAAUUACAUUAUACAUGUUGUUAAAUACA